rnacentral:rRNA from 1 species
UACAGAGGUCCCAAGCGUUGUUCGGAUUCAUUGGGCGUAAAGGGUGCGUAGGUGGCGUCGUAAGUCGGGUGUGAAAUCUCGGGGCUUAACUCCGAAACUGCAUUCGAUACUGCGGUGCUUGAGGACUGGAGAGGAGACUGGAAUUUACGGUGUAGCAGUGAAAUGCGUAGAGAUCGUAAGGAAGACCAGUGGCGAAGGCGGGUCUCUGGAAAGUUCCUGACACUGAGGCACGAAGGCCAGGGGAGCAAACGGG